rnacentral:ncRNA from 2 species
GAGGAAACCGGUGCGAACCCGGUGCGGUCCCGCCACUGUGACCGCGCUUCACCGGGCCUCCGGGGAAGCGCGGGAGCCAGGAACUC